rnacentral:rRNA from 1 species
AGGGUUCGAUUCUGGCUCAGGAUGAACGCUAGCGAUAGGCUUAACACAUGCAAGUCGAGGGGCAGCACGGUGUAGCAAUACACUGGUGGCGACCGGCGUACGGGUGCGUAACACGUAUGCAACCUACCCGCUAUUGGGGGAUAACCCGGCGAAAGUCGGACUAAUACCCCAUAUUAGUUCUUACCGGGCAUCCGGUAGGUCUGAAAGAUUUAUCGAUUGCGGAUGGGCAUGCGGAUGAUUAGCUAGUAGGUGGGGUAACGGCUCACCUAGGCGACGAUCAUUAGGGGUUCUGAGAGGAAGGUCCCCCACACUGGAACUGAGACACGGUCCAGACUCCUACGGGAGGCAGCAGUGAGGAAUAUUGGUCAAUGGGCGCUAGCCUGAACCAGCCAAGUCGCGUGAAGGAAUGACAGAUCUAUGGUUUGUAAACUUCUUUUGCAGGGGAGUAAAGUGCGACACGUGUGUUGUAUUGCAAGUACCCUGCGAAUAAGCAUCGGCUAACUCCGUGCCAGCCGCCGC